ACACUCAUCCUGCCUGUGGUGUGGAGUCAAGAGUGGGACACUCAGACGCUACAGUUUGAAUAUUGUUUGCUUUCUCUGACCUGUCUGCUCCUCCUUUGGGUUGCUAUGCAGUAAUUACGGCGGUUUCAGCAUUUCCCAGUGCCAUGCUGGUGAUGCCCCUGGCAGAAUGUGCACGACGGUUAUGGUGCUCACUACCCUUGCUGUGCUACUGCGAAGACGAUUCUUCAACAAAGUGCAGCCACUUCCAGAUGGAGCUGAUGAUAACCCUACUCGAGGGCUGCAGGUGGCAUCAACAUCACCUGGAGGGGGACCGAAGAGCUGAACUUGAAGUCAACGUGCGCCCUUAAGGUGGACACGGAUGCUGGAAUAUACAGGUGUGGUUUGUAGGUCUGCAGUUUUUCCUGUUCAGUAUGGCUAGUGAACUGUGUGUUUCCUUGAACCGUUACCCUAACCGACAUUGGGGGGUCUCCGGGACAGCUGCAGCCCACUUUCGAUCCUGUGGCAGGACAAAAAGCCGGUGCAAAAUCUUCCUAUCCAGCGGAUCAGUGAUCAAGGCCCGGCCAAGACUUGCCCUUCCCCCCCAUGGUUUCCAAGCUCACUCGCAAGUUCCAAGGACACAGUUCCCUCAUCCAGGUGACAGUAACAGAUGGCUUUGUCUACAAAGAGAUUAAAGGCUUUUGCAUCUA